rnacentral:rRNA from 1 species
AAUCAACGCUGGCGGCGUGCCUAACACAUGCAAGUCGAGCGCGAAAGGGGAGCAAUCCCCGAGUAAAGCGGCGAACGGGUGAGUAACGCGUGGGUAAUCUGCCUCCGAGUGGGGAACAACACCGGGAAACUGGUGCUAAUACCGCAUGACAUCGCCGGGUCUUCGGACCUGACGAUCAAAGCCGGGGACCGCAAGGCCUGGCGCUUGGAGAGGAGCCCGCGUCUGAUUAGCUAGNGGUGGGGUAAUGGCCCACCAAGGCUACGAUCGGUAGCCGGCCUGAGAGGGCGGACGGCCACACUGGGACUGAGACACGGCCCAGACUCCUACGGGAGGCAGCAGUGGGGAAUUUUCGCAAUGGGCGAAAGCCUGACGAAGCAACGCCGCGUGGAGGAUGAAGGCC